rfam:Cathartes aura contig130881, whole genome shotgun sequence.
AUGCUCACUUUGGCAGCAUGUAUAUUAAAAUUGGAACAAUACAGAGAAGCAGCAUGGCCCCUGCGCAAGGACGACACGCAAAUUCAUGAAGCGUUCCAUAUUUUU